rnacentral:lncRNA from 1 species
UGUAAAUGGCAUUGUAUCAGCAAAAGCUGUGACUGUGGUGGAACUGAGGAACAGGUCAGACACCGGCCGAGCCAACAGAUCACCUCAGACCACCAUCCUGCCGUCUGUGAGAGUUCCUUCAAACUGUCAGCGAGAUUUCAGCCUGUUGGCCUUUGACCCUGAUGGAGACCAGGUUACGUGCAGAUAUGGAAACACGUCACUGUCAGAGUGUGACCCCUGCACACCACCGUCUGUUCUCAGCCUCUCAUCAUCUUGUACUCUGUCCUUCAGCCCCACUAUUAGCAGUCAAGAAGGUCCAUACGCUGUGCAGCUGGUGAUGGAAGACUUUCCCAGACAGACCAUCACACUGACUCAGACCAACGGGCUGCAGACGUUGAAAACUACCAGUGACGCCAUCAGCAAAAUACCUAUCCAGUUUGUUUUAAGGGUGGAGCCUGUGGUGCCGUCCUGCACAGAGGGACUCUAUCUGCCCAAGUUCCUGCCUCCAACCCCAGACAACAGAGCUCGGCUGUACACCAG